CACCACUGACUCGGAAUCAGUUUCCUUAUGCCCCUGUUCAGCAGCCCCUCGCCCUGUUCGCUGUAACAAGACCGACCGGAGACCAGCCGACUCUGAGUAACUGUGACCGUCCUCUACAUCCUCCCCUACCGGCAACGUGGCAACACUCAAAGAUGCGCCUUUUUCCUCAUGCAAGCUACAAUCCGAUGAGACGGAUAUUCAUGUCGAAACGACACAGAGAGGCUGCCAGUAGUUUUGUUUUUCCUCUCUCAUGUUUAGCCUGAAGAUUGACGGGAUUUCCUCUGUUCCUGCCUUGUGGGACUACAGCUGUCAAACUCCUCAGGGCGUGCUCCACUGUUUACUCUCAGCUCAGAAGACACAGGCUGGGAUACACAAUGCAAACAUAACGGAGAUGAAGCAUUAUGCACAGAGACCCUGCUGGCUUUUUGUUUUCUAACUUACCCUCUUCUUUUUUUUUUUAGCACUGGUGUUUGCGCAGCAACAACACCUGGUUAUAUGGGCCACAGUAUUUCGUGAACUUUAGCCUCUUGUUAUCAUGCUGUCUUGUUAUCAGCUCAUGUUGUGACUUCCCAGUGAAACGAUGUGGCAGUCGUGAAUGUACUUUGACUGCAGCCAGCACGUGUGAGCUGUGUGAAGGUGGGCCGGUCUUGUGCGGAGGGGUCAUCAUGGAUCACAGAGGUCACCCCAGGCAGGACUCUGGCCGUCAUUCCCACAGAACAAAAGACAGAGAGGACUACUACAGGUAUUUUCAGCAGGACAGGGACCAGAGCUAUCCACCGCCAGACCCCAGAGAGAGGGACAGACACUGGGCUCAACCUGAUCCCAGCUACAGGGCUAACUUCACCAGUCCUCCGGCCAGACCAGAGCAGUAUCCUUACAACUCCCACCAGUAUCCAUAUGGCCAUGGGCGACCAGAACACCAAAGACCCCAGUCCAGACAUGGGUACGACUAUCCACCCCACAGCCACUGGGACUACAGAGACAACUAUGGUUAUUAUGACCAUGACUACUACAGAGGACAGCAUGGGCGACAAGAUGCCGGCCAGUGGGAUCCCCAAGACUCAUGGAGAACAGACCGAUAUCAUGAGAGAAAAUACAAUCAGGAACAUUCAGGGAGCUACUACGCAGAGGAGAACAGGUAUGAUCAAGGGAGAGACAACUCCCAGCAUUACCUCAGUGACUAUGAGGAAAAUCCUUCCAGAGAAAAUGAAGAGGUUUCCUCUUAUUACCUUGGGACUUUAGAGAGUUCCAAAACCUCAGGGUUAUCUUCCAGCAGCUAUGAACUGAGUCAGUACAUCAAUGGAGCUGAACACAGUGACUCUGUCCCACAGCCUGGUGCAGAGCAUGGAGCUGUGCCUCAGAUGUCAGCGCCUCUGAAAUACUCAAUCCCUCAUGCGGUGGUCAGCUUCGGACCUGCAGGCCAGCUGAUUCGGGUCACCCCAGGCUUUUCAACACAGAAAAACAUCAGCCAGCUGGAAAUCCACAGCCUGGAGGUCAUUCUGAGUGAGACACAAGAACAACAGGAGAUGAGAAACUUCCCUGGUCCCCUAACUAGGGAAGAUUUGCACAAAGUAGAUGCCAUAGAGUUUGCGAACCAGAAGGCAAGCGCCUGCUCGAGAGACGACAAGCUGCCUGAUAAGAGCUCUGCUGCCCUCUUGUGGAAUCUACUGAUAUUGCUCUGCAGGCAGAAUGGCCAAAUAGUUGGAUCAGAUAUUGCAGAACUGCUGAUGCAGGGCUCACAUUCAGAUGGAAGCUGGGAGUCAGAGGCUCCCACGCUCAUUGACUUCAAUGAGGGCGCGAUUGCUGAAGCACCACCUCAAAAAGGAGAUGACCUGCUCACAGGGAACUGGAGCAGCUUCAGCUCUGAGACCUCAGAGAAGGCCCUGCAGAGCUACACUCAACUGCUGCUGGCUGGAAGAAAGAAGGAGGCUUUGGAGUCAGCUAUGAGCAGCGGCCUGUGGGGGCAUGCACUUUUUCUGGCCAGCAAAAUGGACAACAGGUCUUACACCACUGUGCUGAACAGGUUUACAGGCCAGCUAACAGCCAGUGAUCCCCUCCAGACUCUCUUCCAGCUGCUGUCUGGGAGAAUCCCUGCUGUAACCACGUGCUGUGUAAAUGAAAAAUCGGGAGACUGGAAGCCCCAUCUGGCCGUCAUGCUCUCCAAUGAGACGGGAGAUCCCGCUGUUCAUCAGAAGGCCAUCAUCACCAUGGGAGACACACUCGCCUCCAGAGGCCUCAUUCACGCCGCCCAUAUGUGCUACCUGACAGCCGGCGUUCCCUUUGGGCAGUUCACACAGAAGGCAGAGAGACUGGUGCUUCUAGGCAGCAGCCACAGACAAUCUUUUGAAGACUUUACCACAAACUCUGCCAUCCAGUGCACUGAGUUGUAUGAAUACUGCCAGACACUUGGGGGCAAAGGUUUUUCAAUACCAGCCUUUCAGGUGUAUAAGUUCCUAUAUGCCUGUCGACUGUUGGACUGUGGGCUCCCAUCUCAGGCCUUCCAUUACUGUGAGGUGGUAGGACAGGCGAUCCUCAGACAGAGGGAGCCUUUCUUUGUGCUGACUGGCGAGGUUAUUAAGCUGGCAGACAGACUGAGACACUCUGAGGGUCAGUUCGUUAGUGAAGCAGGUGUUAGUGGAGCCGUGCAGGAACCCGACUGGCUGAAACAACUGCGUGCUAGGCUCCACAGUUUCCAGACGGGGAGUUACGACUGUACUGAAACAUACCAACCAGCUCCUGAGGGACGCGCUUUUGCACAUGAGGAUAGCAACGUGUACUCAGAAUCUGGCUUGGAUGACCAGAGCUGUGACCUCCAUAGUCCUGAGCCUGAGCUCCUUUACUACAGAGGCAGCGAGGAUCAAGAAAGCCUUAUGCAUCAAACUGAAGGAAACACUGAGCAAAUGGCAGAGUUAUCAUGGGACGUCAGAGGAGCUCCGAACUGGCCACUCGCCAACCCUCCGAUUCCAGUAACCGUAGUUUAUGCUCCCCCAGCACCCGCAGCAGCCCCGAGCCAAGACUUAAGUUAUCAUAACACAGAUAGUACUGAAGUCAGAACUGCCUCACCACAUUGUCCUCUGAGUGAUCUGCCAUCAGCAGCAGAGGGGGCUGGGUCGUCUUCUGGACCAGGCCUGAUGGGCGGUCAGAUCCUGGAGGUCGACAUCCGCCACCAGGGACACGGCCAGCAGAGCAUACCACAAGGUUUAGAGCCCUCUGAGCAGAUGAACACAUCUCCUAAGCAGAGCACCAAGGGGGGCUGGUUCAGUGGCUGGUUCACGUCAAAACCCAAAGAUCUCCAAAAGGAGACUUCGGAGCAGAGAGGCCCAGCUCAGACAGCGCUGCCGCCCACAGCUUGACCCCAGCAGCCCUCCUCUGCAGGGAUCAAUUCCUUUUCAAGGAAAGCUGGCCAGCAGCUGGGGUAUAGGAACCUUGCACAUACCACUGUCCUACAUCACAGGAUCACUGACACCACUAAAACCAAAUAAGAGGACCUCACACCUUAACAGUGCCUAUAUGUCUAAUGAGAGCUUUACCCGAGCUUGAAGGAGAUCCAUACCACUCACCAGUGCCCUUUGAAACCCCCACAGCUUGCCCACCGUCAUGUUGCAUGUUAGAUACAGAAAUACUCUUGAUGGACUGACACAGUAACUCAUAUUGCAGUGACUGAAACAGCUGAGGUGGACCUUGUAAAGGCUGACAGCAGGGAAAUUGUCGGUGGAUGCAGGACAUGUGGAGGGAGAGAGAUAUCUUAACUUGAACCUGGAACAUCAAUGCCAGAAAGACUGAGGGAAGCUGCACAAAAAAGUUUGGAAUAGUUGGUGUAACUGUAACCACCAAUGUAUCUGCCCACUGAGUAUCAGUGUCAUCAGACUCUCACAGCUCAGAUCAUUACUAAAUGAUUAUCCAUGCUAUACGCUGCAAGACAGUAUGCAUGUGCUAAAUUUAGCUACUGUUCAAGAGUAUCCAUCAAUCCGAUCGUAUCUUUUUAUGAUAAAAUAUCUAUGCUCUUAAACACAAUUAACCAACAUAUCAAAAAUGCAUUAAUUGAAAUGUAAUCCAAUGCCGUGGUCAUUCGAUAGCUUCACAGACGCAAGCUUUAAUCUUCCAAGCUGAGUGAGGAGAAAGCGUGUAGCCAGACUUAAUGAUAUCACAAUGUGAGCAACAUUUAAUUAUUUUUUAUAAUUUUUUUACAAUGUGUAAAAAUGGAAUAGUUUUAGUUAAAAUGUGUUCUCAUGUUGUCAUGCUGCCGAGAUGGACGAUACCACUUGGUUGCGGGGGGGAGAGGGGCAAUUGGGAAGACCCCCAUCAGGCAAACAGCCAACAUGCAUAACGCCCUCAGCCAGCACACAUGUACAGGAUCAAACUGUUUAUAAACCCUCCUUGUACAGGUAUUUGCACUGCCUUCAUGUUAGAAAGGGACUUAGUAAUAGCCCUGUUAUAUAAAUAACUGUGGGAACAAAGCCAGUGGAGGCUCUUUAAAAUGAAUAUACAUCACAUAGUAAUAUAUACUCGUGGAAUACAUUUUAGAACAAUGUUUUUUUUUAAUCACUUUGUCACCUUGUAAACAUGUUUUGAUGUAACAGAUUUUUUCUUUUUUACAUCUGUCAUAUGGUUUUGUGUUUUAUGUAUUACAGUAUAUAUGUGAAAGCUUUUUUGUACAUCUGUACCAGCACCUGAAAUGUAUUAAUUUCUAGAACAUCUGAGGAAUUCUGCCUCAGAGUAAUUUCUCAGUAUUGUAAAGUGUUAAAAGCUCAGCACAGUC